AAUGCAUCUUUUCAAAACCGGAGAUUCUUUAAUCCACAUGUUUAUCCACAUUUUCAUUUCAGGUAUACCAAAAUGAAUACAUGUUUGACACCAUUUCCUGAAGUAACCGACGUAAAAGAUGUUAGUGGUGGAGGAUUAACUAAUAGGCCUGAGAGACUAACAACAACUCCACCAAGGAUUAACAGUAGAAGUUUGAAAGAAAUCACAGCUGAGAUGUUCUCUCAAUCUCCGCCGCACUACCUUCUCCGUGACCUUCUCUCACUUGCACAAAGAAUAUAAGUUCAUGUGUAAAGAACCAUAAAUCGAUCAAAAGAUUAGUUUCAUUCACAACACAUAAAGACAGAAGAAUAUUCAAAGAGGUGGUUUCAAUUUAUAGAGAGGAUGGUUUUUACUAUAUUCAAUAUAAGAAGAUUAUUAUGGAAGAGAUAUUUGAGAGGAGUCAUAGUCGUGCAUCUCUUUUGAAAGUGGAUAUACAAGUUUUUUUUAUUAAAUUUAUUUUAUAUAUUUGAGGAUGUUAAACUCUUAACCAUUGAGUAUGUAAUUUAUGGAGACAUAUGGAUUAGUUGAAUUGUAGUUGGAAUUAUGUUGUUCUAACCAUAAAUGGAUAGACUAGUAUGUUAGAACAAUAUUUGUCUA